UACACACCGCCCGUCACACCAUGGGAGUCGUUUGCUCCAGAAGUGCCUGCGCAAACCCGCAAGGGAUGUAGGGCCCAAGGAGUGAACGGUAACUGGGGUG
rnacentral:rRNA from 1 species